AGCGAACGCUGGCGGCAGGCUUAACACAUGCAAGUCGAGCGGGCAUCCUUGUGGUGUCAGCGGCAGACGGGUGAGUAACGCGUGGGAACGUGCCCUUCGGUUCGGAAUAACUCAGGGAAACUUGAGCUAAUACCGGAUACGUGCGAGAGCAGAAAGGUUUAUCUGCCGAAGGAUCGGCCCGCGUCUGAUUAGCUAGUUGGUGAGGUUAUGGCUCACCAAGGCGACGAUCAGUAGCUGGUCUGAGAGGAUGAUCAGCCACACUGGGACUGAGACACGGCCCAGACUCCUACGGGGGGCAGCAGUGGGGAAUAUUGGACAAUGGGGGCAACCCUGAUCCAGCCAUGCCGCGUGAGUGAUGACGGCCUUAGGGUUGUAAAGCUCUUUUCUCCGGGACGAUAAUGACGGUACCGGAGGAAUAAGCCCCGGCUAACUUCGUG
rnacentral:rRNA from 1 species